ensembl:lncRNA
UAUCCGGUGUUGUAACAUGGACCCAGCAGAACACAAUGAAUUUUGCUACGAGCUUGGAUGCAAUGAAAAUCAUUUAAACACAAAUCUUGAAUUUUCCUGCAGAGCAAGAUAUGAUGCAGCCUAGCUUGUCCACCUCAGAUUCUUACAUAAGAAGGCAAAUUGGAGAUGAGUUUGCAUGGUCAUGUCGUGAUUCUCAUCUCAAGAAUUUAAGUAUUUCCACUUGCAUAUUUGAGGACCACAAAAGAGACCUGGAUGUAAUAUAAGGAAUCUGUCAAUCAGAAAGCAAAUUUGCUCAUAUUACAAUCUUUCCAAGAUAGAAAGCAAUGUUGAAAUAAUGUGAUUUUCUUUUAGGUAAAUUUACACAUCAUUGUUUUUGCUUUUCUUUUCCGUUUGCCUAGCUAUUUUGAAGUUCAG